rnacentral:rRNA from 1 species
AUUGAACGCUGGCGGCAUGCCUUACACAUGCAAGUCGAACGGUAACGGGUUAAGCUGACGAGUGGCGAACGGGUGAGUAAUAUAUCGGAACGUGCCCAAUCGUGGGGGAUAACGCAGCGAAAGUUGUGCUAAUACCGCAUAAGAUCUACGGAUGAAAGCGGGGGAUCGCAAGACCUCGCGCGAGUGGAGCGGCCGAUAUCAGAUUAGCUAGUUGGUGGGGUAAAGGCCCACCAAGGCGACGAUCUGUAGCUGGUCUGAGAGGACGACCAGCCACACUGAGACUGAGACACGGCCCAGACUCCUACGGGAGGCAGCAGUGGGGAAUUUUGGACGAUGGGCGCAAGCCUGAUCCAGCAAUGCCGCGUGCAGGAUGAAGGCCUUCGGGUUGUAAACUGCUUUUGUACGGAGCGAAAAAGCUCUCUCUAAUACAGGGGGCUCAUGACGGCACCGUAAGAAUAAGCACCGGCUAACUACGUGCCAGCCGCCGCUGUAA